AUUGAACGCUGGCGGCAGGCCUAACACAUGCAAGUCGAACGAGUGGCGGACGGGUGAGUAAUGCCUGGGAAACUGCCUGAUGGAGGGGGAUCACUACUGGAAACGGUAGCUAAUACCGCAUACCAUCAGAUGUGCCCAGAUGGGAUUAGCUAGUUGGGGGGGUAACGGCUCACCAAGGCGACGAACCCUCACUGGUCUGAGAGGAGGACCGGCCACACGGGAACGAAGACACGGUCCAGAUUCCGACGGGAGGCAGCAGUGGGGAAUAUUGGACAAUGGGCGCAAGCCUGAUGCAGCCAUGCCGCGUGUAUGAAGAAGGCCUUCGGGUUGUAAAGUACUUUCAGCGGGGAGGCGUUACCCGCAGAAGAAGCACCGGCUAACUCCGUGCCAGCAGCCGCGGUAAUUC
rnacentral:rRNA from 1 species